rnacentral:rRNA from 1 species
UAAACGGCGGCCGUAACUAUAACGGUCCUAAGGUAGCGAAAUUCCUUGUCGGGUAAGUUCCGACCUGCACGAAUGGUCUAAUGAGUUGAACACUGUCUCCUCCACGAGCCCGGUGAAAUUGUAGUAUCGGUGAAGAUGCCGGUUACCCGUCACGGGACGGAAAGACCCCGUGAACCUUCACUACAACUUUGCAUUGAUUUUGAAUUACGGAUGUGUAGAAUAGUUGGGACACUUUGAAGCAGUGGCGCCAGCCAUUGUGGAGUGGUCGUUGAAAUACCAACCUUCUUUGAUUUAGAGUCUAACCCCUUGCGGGGAACAGUGCAUGGUGGGUAGUUUGACUGGGGUGGUCGCCUCCUAAAAUGUAACGGAGGCUUGCAAAGGUACCCUCAGUACGGUUGGUAAUCGUACGAAGAGCGCAUUAGUAUAAGGGUGCUUGACUGUGAGGCAUACAGGCCGAGCAGGAGCGAAAGCUGGCUAAAGUGAUCCGGCGGUUCUGUAUGGAAGGGCCGUCGCUCAAAGGAUAAAAGGUACUCCGGGGAUAACAGGCUGAUCUCCCCCAAGAGCUCAUAUCGACGGGGAGGUUUGGCACCUCGAUGUCGGUUCGUCACAUCCUGGGGCUGGAGAAGGUCCCAAGGGUUCGGCUGUUCGCCGAUUAAAGUGGCACGUGAACUGGGUUCAGAACGUCGCAAGACAGUUCGGUCCCUAUCUGUGAUGGGCGUUAGAAAAUUGAGUGGACAUGACCUUAGUACGAGAGGACCGGGUCGUACGUACCGCUGGUGUAUCUGUUGUGCCGCCAGGUGCAGUGCAGAGUAGCUAUGUACGGACAGGAUAAACGCUGAAAGCAUCUAAGCGUGAAACCUUCCACAAGAUGAGUUUUCUUUUAAGGGUCGUCAGAGACUAUGACGUUGAUAGGCUAUAGGUAUAAAACUGGUAACAGUAAAGCCGAGUAGUACUAAUUGCCCGUAUGCUUUAAUUUU